ensembl:lincRNA
AGAACCCUGGCCGGGGGAGAGGCCUCGAGCCGCGGGGCCACCACGCUCAGCCCCCACGAAGACGCCUGGCCGGGCUGCGGCUUCCCUGGGCCCCAAGCACCUGCUUUCCCAGGACUGGAGUCUGGGCUGAGUGGACAGCCGGGUGGCGGCCCCCACCCUGAACCUCCACAUCCUUCUUCCUGGGACUGCCUUGGGCCCCGCCCCAGGGUGCGCUGAGCGCGGGCCAUCCGAGCCGCGGCGCCCCCGAGUUCUGUCCCCACGAGCCCAGGGCAGCCGGCGCCCCGACCAGUCUCCAGCCUGGCCUCGCCCAGCCCCCACCACAUUUGCUCCCCAGAAGUCUGCCUGAGGCUGGCACCUGCUGCUACAGCAUCGAGGUCCAAACCCAAGUUCUGCCACCGACUGGCUGGGAUGCCUGUGCCAGAAAGGGUCUCCGGUGGAAACCCCGGGUGCGGUUCCCCUCUGCUGCUUUCCCUCCCAACAGAGUGGCACCCGGCGCUGGCCAUGAGCCAGGGGGAUAUGCAGUUCCGAGCCGGCUGGCUGCAGGGCGAGGACACGUAUGAGCUGGAGCAGCCCUUAACCCGGCGCAACCAUCACGGGACAGUGUCUACACACAAAACUGUUUAUUCAGACCAGCUCCUUCCCGGGGAUGGGGGACACAGACAACCUGUCCCGGGGCACAGGCUUCCAGGAAGCCCCGGAAGUUGAGGAAGAAGCCCUCCAGGUCUCGGACCCAAGCCUCCUGCUGCCCCAUGUGUUCAGCUUGUUUUUUUAGAGCCUCCACCUCCACCUCCAGCUGGGAGAACCUGUCCCUGAGCACGCCCAGCUCAGCCAACAAUUCCAGGGUGCCUAUGGGUUGGGGCUCUUCUGGGACACAGUCUCGGGUGCCCUGCCCACCUUCACAUAUACCUCUAAAGAGGUUUCUCAUCUUCUCUUGGAGAGCAGGGCAUCCCUCUCGCCCUCUGGAGAAAACUCUCCAGAACACCAGGGCACAAAGCAGGAAGAGACUCCUUAAACUGGUCCCAGGCCAGCGGUCCCCAGGCCCUCGGCCCAUCAGCACCUCGGCACUGAGACACACCAGGCGGACCACACAGGGCAUAGGUCCAAGCCCCGGCCAGGAGGCGCUGGCGUUUCCGACAGCCGGCACCCAAGUCUGCAGAGACAGCCUCCAGGCCAGACCCGGCAGUGGAAGGCCGAGGCACGCAGGGAACCAGGGUCUUGAGGUGGUCUCGCCCAGGUGGCUGGAUGGAGGUAGCCGUAGGGUCCCCAUUACCGACCUCCCGCCAGACUCAAGAGCUGAGGUCGUCCUUUGCUCCUCGGCGAGCUGGAAGCCCGGAGUCUUUCGGGGGCGUUCUGCAGCCGAGUGCGGAGCUGGUGUUCGAUCCCGGAGGCCUGAGGGUGCCCUGUGCUCAGGUUCUCUGUGCCCGAUUGAGGCUGCAGGAUGGGAACGCAAAGGUGAGGGAUCGGGCCAGCUCCACAGGGCUGGAGACCAAGGGGACCUUGGAGUUAAGGUUCUGAGAUGGGUCACCUGUGGCCGAUGGUCUCUGGCUGCCCUGGCUCUGCAGGGAGCCCAGGGAGAGGUUUGCUGGCCGUGGGCAGGAGUCCUGGGAUCUCUCCAAAGGAGUCAGCGGCGGUCCUGGGCCGAGCAGGACGUCCCAGGUGGGGACCCUGUGAAGGAGGAAAUGUCACGGCCUCUAUCAUGAGAGCACGAUCCAUUUCAGUCGGACUGUGGACUUUGAGCUCUUUGCCCAGUAUCUAUGGGAACAGCAUACCAAUGGAAACCCAGAGCCCCGAACAAGGAGCCUCGGGACUUGUCCCUAUCUCGGUCGCCUCAAAGAAUAUGCUAAGUAUCUCUAACAGAACCAAGUGUAAACCCCAUUGUGCUCAGUGGGAUAUGGCCACAGACCGAUGGCUAAAUGGCCAUUGUUUAACUAUGUAGGCUUAUGAGGCAUGAAUCCUUGCUUAACUCCGAUGCUAUCUCCCUUUUACCUUGUCCAGAGUAGUUUCAAGGAAGCUGGGGAGGAGGGUUUGGGCUCGUACACUAGGGUAUCUAAGGAGUUCACAGAAACUGGUCGGGAUCCUUGGCUGAGAGGAGACUCUGCCUUGGGGCUGCCGGUGUAAUCAUCGGCACUCCACCAUCGGCCCUGUCCUUCUGAGGGAGUUGUUUCCCGCAGCGCAUGAUUACCACACCUGGACCUGUUGUUGGGCGCUGCUCCAAGGUCGACGAGCGGCCGAGUCGGGCUUUGAGGGCGCCCUCUGCUCCGCGGCAGGCUGGAGGCCCGGAGUCUUUCGGGGGCAUCUGGCGACCGUGUGAGGCGCCGGUGUCUGAUCCCGGAGCUUGAGGGUCCCCUGUGCUCCGUUUCUGGGAACCCGAUCUCGGGCUGCGGGAGGGGAACACAAAUGACAGGCCUCGUGCCAGCUCCGUUGCCGGGAGCGGGUGCUCCGGGCGCCGGGUGCGGGUCCGGGGACUGGAGAGCCCACAAAGAGGCCCUAAAGUGGAACCCAUCACGAAGGUGGAUUGAGCGCUAUGGGCCAGAUGCCCGGGGUAGGAGGAAUGGGCGCUGGUCGCCAGAAGGGCGACGGAAGAGGCGGUGAGCCGAAGAAGCGGGCGGAGAAAAAGCGGCAGCAACCGCCGGUAGACGGGCCAUU